CACCAGCAGCCAAAACACGCGCGUAGCUCUUUUUCGCACUGUUUGCAUCCUUUUGUGCUUUCCCGUCACCAUUGCGCCUACCGACUGGACUCCCCGCCCUUCUUCUGCAAACAAGGGUGCGUGUGCACCUAUGUUUUUCUCCGCGUGCCUUAAGUCCAUUUACACGGCAGGCAACAACUCCCAGCGACCCUUCUUCACGAGAAAGGGACGGCGUCAACCGCAAGAGCAGUAGCAGCAUCCGAGGUGGCGAUAUCGUCAGCGUUGUUGCCAUCUGCCUUUCAGGCGGCGCGCCAAUCAAAUCAUCGCUACGCACAGAGAGAAGAAUCCAAACAACAACACAAGGGGUACGUGAAAAACCAACAACAACAACGGCCAUCGAAGGAAGCGUGCGCAUUCAACCGAGCUCAUUCCUUUGCAGACACUAUCAACGCCUUUCCUCCACAGUCGUCCUUGCCGUUGCCGUCGUCUCUCUGCCUUGUGUCUUAUUCGGUUUCAUUGUUUUUCUGUUCUGUUGUUGGCGUUCUGCCCGACGUGGAGGACGUCGGUGCCAUCUCCUCCUCUCCCUCACAGCUUCUCUCUUCUUUUCUGCCAUCCCCUCAUUAUAGACUCCUUGAAGUUGCGCCCCCUUUCGACUUUCAAACGCUCUGUCUUUUUUUUUUUGUUGCGGUUGCCUGCUGCCGUGCACUUGCAUCUCCACUUAUAUCUUUAUCAGUUCGGCAGUGCGCAAUAGUGUUUGUCUGUGUGUCUGUGUGUGUGCCUAACUGGGUGUUCGAGGGAGAGAGGGACUACAUCAUAACAGCGUGCCGGCGCCGUGUUGCCCACGUGACUUCGUCUCCGUGUUGGUAGCCGCGGUGGUUCUCUUGUUCUCCCGUAUUAUCUGUUUCCACAGCCCUUGUGCCCGUUACGUUUCACUUGCUUUUCUUUUUGCGUGUUGUCUUGCCGAAACAGUCGCGCUCCUACACGCACACACCCGAGCAUACGUUUCCGCGCUCCCUCUCUCUGUCUCGUUUCUCAUCUUUUUGAGCGCCGAAGAUGAGCUUCAACAACCCGCUCGAGUCGCUGCUGCGGAGCAUUAUUCAAGGCAGUGGCCGUGGUGAAGGCGGCGGAGGCGACGGAAGCGGCCAACCCACCAUGGUCACAUUCAGCACCGACGAUGCUUCCGGUAUGUACCCGCUCUCCAUGCUGCAAGCCAUGGGGCCGAGCCUCGUGUUCAGCCGUGGCCCCGGUGUCAGUGUGUCUGCAGAUCCGACUCGCCGCGGUGCUGAGGCCUCACCGGCGAUGCCAGACGCGCAGUCUGCCUCACCCGGCAGUGUGUACAGCGGCGGCGUGCCGCCCAUGGUGUGGAUACAGCGGGAGCAGCAGCGUAUUCCGCUUCAGUUCUCCGCAACAGGCAGCCCCAAUCUAGACGGAACGCGGCUGCGCGAGGAGGGCAACGAGGCCUUCAAGGCAGGCCGGUACCACGAGGCGAUUCGCUACUACACCCAGGCGAUCGAGGUCGACCCGGACUCGGAGUUCCUCUACACCAACCGCUCUUUUGCCUACUUCAAUAUCAAAGAGUUCGAGAAGUCCGCCGCUGACGCGGCGAAGGCGGUGGAGAUUAACGCGAACUUUUUCAAGGGGCACUACCGGCUGGGGCUGGCGCAGAUGAGCUUAAACGACUUUGGCCAUGCUAUGGAGAGUCUGCGCAAGGCCUGGGCGCUGGCGCCCAGUGAAAACAAAGAGGCUAUUCGGGUAGCCAUGGCGAAAUGCGAGUCCAAGAUGGCACGAGCGCCGGUGACGCCGCUGCUGAUGAGCCCUGGCGAUUCCUCGUCCGUGCCCUACACCGAGACUGGGGUCAGCUCGCGCUCUUCGUGGCCGACGGCUCCGGCGCGUCCCACAGAUGCGCAGUCGGCACUCGGCAGCACUAGCGUGGACUUCUGCGAGCUGGAGGCAGGGAUACGGCGCGCGGCGACCUUGCGGGACCAGGCAGCAAAGUAUGCCGAAACGUACAAAGCGCAGGACGCCAUUGUAGAGUGCAGCAAACGGUCUGACAAGAUCAAGUCCCUCAUGAGCAUCGCCACCUCCAGCGAGCUCUCUGCCCUCUCCAAGGAGGCGGACGAGAAACAGUCGCAGUUGCGUCGUGCUGUGCGCGACCAGGACAGCAACGCUUAUCACAAGGCGCGGUGUGACCGAGAUGCUACACUCAACAAGCUGUGGGACACUGCUGCACAGGCUGGGAUGGCGAUUGCGCAGCUCAAGAAAAUUGCCAAGGAGGAGCAGAACUUUUUCAGCCGAUUCGGUCCGGCUUCCAACCGCACGCUGCCCAACGUCCCAACGGAAGGGACGAGUGACACGUUAACGGCCGUGACGACGCCCGUAGCAGCUGAGUCGCCGCCCGCCUCGGCACCGAUUCCGCCAAACGAAGCUCCGGCCGAUGCCGGCGCCCCAGGCACGUCCCUGUCUCGUGCUUCUUGUAUUUCCCCAGGAAGCUCCACACCGACCGCCGAGGCGGUGGUGCCGCACCAGCCGUUGACAACGCCGAGGGCCGGCGCAAAUCAUUCUACCCAGAGCUCCACCAUCGCCGGCGCUGAGCUUGACCAGCUGCUGCGACGCCGUGUCGAGAUCAACGAGGCGGUGAGAAAGGCGCAGAAGUGCUUCGCCGCCACCGACGCAGCCGGGCAGGCGUUCUUGCACUCAUUGAAGGCGGAGGCGGAUGCGAUGAAGGAGGUGCGUUCGCUCCUUGCCGAGGCAGUGGAGCUCGACACCCAGCUGGAGACCCACGCACGUCAGGUGGCGCAGACCACAACGAAGGAGCUUUCCGAUGUGCGUUUACAGGCGCUGGACCAGAUGAGCAGCGUCGUCGAGCGCGUGAAAGCAGACAAGGAGGCCUUCGUCAAGACGAUGCGCGAGGGCGACGGUCUGCUGGAGGAGGAGGCGAAGCUCGAGCAACAGCGCCUCUUGCAUGAGCGCCAGCGCAUUCAGCUGCAGGCCGAAAUCGAAUGGUUCAAGAUUCGGGAUGAGCCAGAGAAUAAGAUCGAAUGCCUGCAGGUGCAAGUGAAGCGACUGCACCAGCGUAUCGCUGCCAUCCACGAGAAGCAGAAGGCUGUGCAGACACGCAUCAUGGAGCUGGUGGAGCAGGAUCACCCGGAGCUGGCGUGGAAGUCGAUGGCCAACGGUUCACGAAUCUUGCGGCUGGUAAAGGGCAGCGGACUCUGGCAGAACCUUUCCUUCUCCGACUUCCAGGUUUUGUCGACGCUGUCGUCCACCGUGAACAGCAAGGUAUACCACGCGUUACGCCGCGGCGAGCACGUCGCUGUGAAGGAGAUCUCCAUCGACGACGAUGCGGCGCGCCGACGCUUCCAGCGAGAGGUGAAUAUCGUCUCCACCUGCAACCACCCCAACAUCAUCCGUAUCAAAGGCGUCUUCUUCGACGGACCUUUUGCCUAUAUCCUCUUACCCUACUACCACCGCGGCAGCCUGCGGGCGUUGCUGUCGAAGCAGGAACCCAUGUCGUGGGUGGCGGUGCAGGACAUGCUCCGUCAACUCGCCAGCGGUGUCGCUUACCUGCACGAGCACGGCAUCGUCCACGGUGACCUGAAGCCGUCCAACGUGCUCAUUGCGGACGACGGGCGGCCUGUCAUCUCCGAUUUUGGCAUUGCCAAGGACCACGGCGCCCUCGGCGUUGCUGACAUGACGCUGACAACCACCGUGACGAACACCAGCAACGGCUGCAACAGCAUCGUGGGCACGAUACAGUAUAUGGCACCUGAGCAGCUGCUGUGCGAGACGGGCUCGCACACGGCGAAAUCCACGGGCAUGUCCGACAUGUGGGCGCUCGGGUUCACGAUGCUGGAGGUGGCGCUAGAGAACGCGUUUUUUCACGAUGCCUCACUGGGGAAGCCGAGUUUGCCGCUGCUGCUACCAGAGCAGAAGCGGAUCGAUGUGCCGGCCAAGGCCGUCGGCGGUGACGAGAAGCUAGCCGAGGCAAUCGCGUCGGUGCUCGUGGCCGACCCGGCGAACCGGGCGACCGCCUACGACCUGCUGGCGCACCCGUACUUCAGCUCAACGCUCAGCUCCAUGAAUAGCAACCAAAACAGCAGUGCGCUGGCGAAGAGCGACGAGCGCAUCGACGCCGUUCGCUCUUACAUCUACGCCGUCCGUAGAAGCCAUCAACAGAAGGUGCUGGUGUCGGUCUCGCGCAGCCACAUGGUGGAGUCCGUGCGCGACAUCUUCCAGCGCCUCGACAACGAUGACCUGCUCUCUCCCAUCAUGGUUGUCUUCCAGGGCGAGGCCGGCAUCGACGAGGGCGCUCUGACGACGGAGAUGCUCAACCUCUUCUAUGAACAGCUGAUCCUAGUGAAGAAGGCUCUCGUGUGCGCAGCCUCUGAGGAGGCGGGCGCAGCAUCUCCGCAUUCCGCAGGCUCCCCUGUAUCGUCUGGCACGGCAGCUGCUUCGACGAGCGCGUCGAACGAGCCAGGCAUUCGCUCUGUCCUCUUCUCCACCGUUCCGUACCUCCCCGCGCCGGAUGCGGAUGGCAUCGCACCGGACCUGUUCGUACUGCUUGGCAAGGUACUGCUAAAGAGCAUCAUCGAGAACCGCCAGAUCCCACUGCAGCUGAGCUCUGCUGUGCUCAAGUUCCUCUCCGGCGCCGAGCCUUCGUUCGUGGACUUGGAGGAGUAUGACCCGAACAUCGCAAGCACGCUGAAGCGGCUGCGUCUCUUGUCCGCUGCCGACCUCGAGGACGCCGGGCUCGACUUUUCUUACUUCACCCACGAGUUCUUGAAGACGCAGACAGACGGCCGGUACACAACGGACUCGCCCCUUACACCCGAGAGUGUGAGCGACUACAUCAACCUUCGUGAGAAGUUCGACCUGGUGGAGCGCCGGCGCACGGCGUUGGAGGCGAUGCGGAAAGGAUUCUACUGCGAACCGUCUCUCGAGCACCACCUCAAGCUCCUCUCUCCCUCGGACUUGCUGCUACUUCUGUGUGGCCAGCUGCACGUCUCAGCGCAGGUCAUCGUUGACGCGUUGGAGUUCCAAGGCUUCGGCCGCAACUCCAACACGCCCAAGUACCUGAAGGAGGUUUUGCUGGACAUGUCACAGAACAAUCUACGACGCUUCCUACAGCUGUGCACUGCGACGGCGGCCGUGCCGGUGAGCGGGGCCAUGAAGAAGAUCAAAGUGCUGCGCUGCGCUGACGAGGGGCGACUGCCGGUCGGCCACGGCUGCACAAAUCAGCUGGACCUCCCUGAUUACAAUGACAAACAGAUCAUCAAGGAGAAGCUGGAGAUUGCCUUGGCGCAUGCCAGUGACGGCUUUCACGUUGUCUAACGUCACAGCGGAGCGAGAGCCGGAUAGAUGAGCAGGUGCAGGUAGCGGUGGUCACGACGGUGCGCAAAAACCGUGCGCUCUUCACUUGUCGCGCUUUUCCUUUUACAUAUGAAACAGCGAACAAGGUGCUUCGCGCUGCCACGACUACUGUAUUGCAACAACAACUUCAACUAUUACUGCGAUUACGACUGCCUUCUCAAACUUGUUUUGCAGCACUUUUUCUUUCUCGCGAGAGCAACGAAUCUCUGGUGCCAACGUUUAGAUGGGCGGUUUCCCCUUCUCACCCUCUUCGUGAUCUGGCAGUGCGUCGUUGACGGGAGCCAUAGGCAUCUAGGACACUCCUUCCCACCUUUUUGCCCGAGACUACGACGAAGGUGGUGCUGUUUCAGGAAGGAACAAAAAAGGAGAAACAGCUGCGUGCCAUCCUCGCCUUAUUCCUCAACUGACCGCAUUGAUCUCUCUGCCUGUCUUGUGUGACUCGUCUUGCUUUUCCGUUCCCCACCCGUGCCCAUGCCUGCGUGCAUGUUUUUGUGGCCGUAGUGACUGGCGCGGGACGCAUACUCGUCACGGCGCUGACGUUGUUAUGAGUGCGGAGAGGGGUGAACUGCAGGGCCGCAGUGCUCACAAAAGGAGGGAAGAAACAGAUCGAAAAAAAAUACAAAAAUAAAAAUAGACAAGCAUGCAAGCAAACGCACACGCACACACACGCACACACACACAUACGGCUUUCACUGGUGCGUCAUCGGCUUGUUACUGGAGUGCCGUGUGCGACAAGCCGAG
rnacentral:misc_RNA from 1 species